ACGGGGGGGGCCAGCGUUGUUCGGAAUUACUGGGCGUAAAGGGCGCGUAGGCGGCCUUCUAAGUCAGACGUGAAAUCUGUCGGCUCAACCGGGGAACUGCGUCUGAUACUGGAGGGCUUGAAUACGGAAGAGGGAUGCGGAAUUCCAGGUGUAGCGGUGGAAUGCGUAGAUAUCUGGAGGAACACCGGUGGCGAAGGCGGCAUCCUGGACCGGCAUUGACGCUGAGGCGCGAAAGCCUGGGGAGCAAACAG
rnacentral:rRNA from 1 species